rnacentral:rRNA from 1 species
UGAGGAAUAUUGGUCAAUGGGCGAGAGCCUGAACCAGCCAAGUAGCGUGCAGGAUGACGGCCCUAUGGGUUGUAAACUGCUUUUAUGUGGGGAUAAAGUGCGUGACGUGUCAUGCAUUGCAGGUACCACAUGAAUAAGGACCGGCUAAUUCCGUGCCAGCAGCCGCGGUAAUACGGAAGGUCCGGGCGUUAUCCGGAUUUAUUGGGUUUAAAGGGAGCGUAGGCUGUCUAUUAAGCGUGUUGUGAAAUUUACCGGCUCAACCGGUGGCUUGCAGCGCGAACUGGUCGACUUGAGUAUGCAGGAAGUAGGCGGAAUUCAUAGUGUAGCGGUGAAAUGCUUAGAUAUCAUGACGAACUCCGAUUGCGCAGGCAGCUUACUGUAGCAUAACUGACGCUGAUGCUCGAAAGUGCGGGUAUCAAACAGG